rnacentral:lncRNA from 10 species
GCAGGUGGGUGAUCAAUGCACUCUCUGACAGAGUUCUCAACGUAGCCUUAACUCACUGCUUUCACCUAAGGUUCAGAUAAAAAUAAAAAGUAAAUUAUUUAAACUUUAAUUACACGUGACGCUCUCCUUGAAGAUCACUCUUACUACCUCCUACUAUCUGAUCUUACUCUGGAUCUAAACACCAAUCUUAGUGGCUUCAUAUUUUUUCCUAUUCGGCAGCCAGUUCUGACAGAGAACAUGACUAGGAGAUUGAUCCUGGCCUAAUACGGACACACAAUACCCAGUAACUCUCAAAUAUAUCUUGCAAUCCCACAGUAUCUUGCUAUCUAAAUUAUUCUUUUAGCUCCAUGAAUACAUCAAAUCUACUCCAUGACUUUUGCAUCACGCACAUACUUACCUUUAUCAUACUUUACACAGAUGGAAUUUCCUCCUCCUACCAAGAUGAAUUAAAUUUUCUCACCAAUUACCUUAGCUCACUGCCAUGAAGUCUGCAGUUCUACUUUAAUCCAUACCCAUCCAUUACUACUUCUUGCCUAUAAAACUGAAAUAUUUUCUUCCCUUGGCAUGUUUAAUUGAUUCAAAUUCAAGCUUUAUCUCCUGCCCUUAGGAGCUUCAUGUUACCACUUAUAUAGUAAAUCUCCUUUACCAGCUCCUUCUACUCUUCCCAAUCUAUCAUCAUGAAGCUUUUGAAACAAAAACCACAUCUAAACCUAUUUUCUCUCUAGUAUCUGCUUUCCUGUGCUUUCCCUCAUAGUUGAACUGAAAAUUGAAAGUCAAAAUGGUAACAUUUCCUCAUCCCCUCUCACCCUUUGACUUACUGAGACCACCAAUGGUCUGUUCAUUAAUAUGUCUUGCCAACAACACCAAUAAUUGUUCCAUAAAAUACCUAAUGGGUGUUCCUUAGUCUUUUACUUGGAACAGAAAAGAACCAAACUAUUCUCUCCUUUUCAUACUACUGUUUUAAAAUUACUCUGUAGUCACUACUCCCCUAAGUUCUCUGCAAAUAGCACAAAUGAUAUUAUUUAAAUGACCCAGAAUUCCAUCCUAGACUCUCUUCUCUCUUCUUUUUGUACCCUAUCUUGGCACUCUCACACAUGUAUUCAAUUGCUUCCAUUUCUUCCGUUGCUAUCUCCAAACUGACAGUGACAGAUUCUUGUCUGGAUUCUACUUCUGAGAUCAUUUACACUUGCAUAGUUGCAGUCAAUGAAAUGUCUGAGGAUAUUACCUCCUCCACAAAACCAUACAAAAAUACACCCCCUAGUCUCCGAUAUUUCUUAAUGACAACACCAACGCAUCCACGAACCAAUCUUUUACAGGGCCCCUAAGAAUUGCAUAAUCAAAAUUAAGCAUGACUUUAUCUGUUCCCUCUUUACUAUCAGCCUUCAUCCACAUAUACCUCCACCCCAAUACACACAAACACAUUUUUUCUUCAUUCUCCCUUUCCCACAGUCUAAACUUAUAUGUCACUCCUCGGAGAACUAUUCUCUGGGUCUCAGCUUAUUAUACUUAUUUAUGUACUGUAUACUUCCACUAAUCUAAUUGCAGAAAAUCAACUUUUUUUUUUUUUUUUUUUGAGACACGGUCUCUCUCUUUACUCUAGGCUGGAGUGCAGUGGCAUGAUCACAGCUCAGUGUAACCUCCAUUUCCUGGGCUCAAGGUAGUCCUCCUGCCUCAGCCUUCCAAGCAGCUAGGACUAUAGGCAUGAGCCACCACCAUGCCCAGGUAACUUUUAAAUUAUAUUUUGUAGAGAUGGGACCUCAGUAUGUUUGCCAUGCUGGUAUCCAGCUUCUGGCCUCAAGUGAUCCUCCCGACUCAGCCUUCUAAAGUGGCAGGAUUACAGGCAUGAACCAACAUGCCCAGCCCAGAGAAAUCAACUCCUGUGUGCCAAGAUUAGGUAAGUUUUUCUCUGACCAUUACAUAUGAACUAGAAUUCGAGAGAAAUUACAUGUCCACAGUAACCUAAACUCCUCUCAGAGAGCUUGC